GAUAAACGCUAGCGGCAGGCUUAAUACAUGCAAGUCGAACGGCAGCACGGGUAGCAAUACCUGGUGGCGAGUGGCGCACGGGUGCGUAACGCGUAUGCAACCUACCUUUGACUGGAGAAUAGCCCCGAGAAAUCGGGAUUAAUACUCCAUAAUAUUAUGAAGUGGCAUCACUUUAUAAUUAAAGCUCCGGCGGCCUUAGAUGGGCAUGCGUGACAUUAGCUAGUUGGUGAGGUAACGGCUCACCAAGGCUACGAUGUCUAGGGGUUCUGAGAGGAUUUUCCCCCACACUGGUACUGAGACACGGACCAGACUCCUACGGGAGGCAGCAGUAAGGAAUAUUGGGCAAUGGACGCAAGUCUGACCCAGCCGUGCCGCGUGCAGGAUGACAGCCCUACGGGUUGUAAACUGCUUUUAUACGGGAAAAAACCCCUGCACGAGUUGCGGGGUUGAUGGUACCGUAAGAAUAAGCAUCGGCUAACUCCGU
rnacentral:rRNA from 1 species